UACGUAGGGGGAAAGCGUUGUCCGGAAUUAUUGGGCGUAAAGAGCUCGUAGGCGGUCUGUCGCGUCUGUUGUGAAAACUCGAGGCUCAACCUCGGGCUUGCAGUGGAUACGGGCAGACUAGAGUGCGGUAGGGGAGACUGGAAUUCCUGGUGUAGCGGUGGAAUGCGCAGAUAUCAGGAGGAACACCGAUGGCGAAGGCAGGUCUCUGGGCCGCAACUGACGCUGAGGAGCGAAAGCAUGGGGAGCGAACAGG
rnacentral:rRNA from 1 species